ensembl:lncRNA
GUGUUGGGUCAGUAACCAGCAGGUAUCCUAGUGGUUAGAGUGUUGGGUCAGUAACCAGCAGGUAUCCUAGUGGUAAGAGUGUUGGGUCAGUAACCAGCAGGUAUCCUAGUGGUUAGAGUGUUGGGUCAGUAACUGAAAGGUUGCUGGAUUGAAUCCCCGAGCUGACAAGGUAAAAAUCUGUCAUUCCUCCCCUGAACACGGCAGUUAACCUGCUGUUCCUAGCUAGUUGAUGGAAAUAAGAAUUUGUUGUUAACUGAAUUGCCUAGUUAAAUAAAAGUUAAAUAAAAGGAACCACAUCCCACUAAUAAAUAUAAAUAACUUUUUGUAUUUUUAAAAAACUCUUUUAUAUUUUUAAUGAAUUUGAAUUGACUUUACCUAAAAUUUGCUUCCCUAAAACUUCAGAUAUUGGUUCAUAGACCUCUUCCCUCCAAUCCACGGUAAUUACGUUUGGACUUUUGGACAUUACAAAUGAAGUCAAAUUGAAAACAGUAUUGAUGUUGUUGAAUUAGGUUUUCAUAAUAGCAAGCUAGGACUGAUGGUUUGGUUAUCUAAACUAGCAAGUAUGUUGGUUUGUUACCAAGGCAACUACUGUUGCUAUCUAGUAAACUUGCUAGCUACUUCAAUGGAUGUUGAACACAUUUCUACCGGCAAAUGUGUUAAAUUAUAGCCAUGGUAUAAAAGGGAUAAUCAACUCAGGGCUUUAUGGUUCUCUGGAAAAUAAUGCAAGUCCAUGGAAGGUCAGUUCCACAGUGUUCAUUAUUUACCAUAGAACUCAUAGUCCCUCGUUGAUUAUCCCUUACAUCACUUUAUGAGCUGGAUUUGCCUUUCUUUGCAACAGUGGAAGCUGCUGAGGAGACGACG